rnacentral:rRNA from 1 species
AGAGUUUGAUCCUGGCUCAGAACGUACGCUGGCGGCACGCCUAACACAUGCAAGUCGAACGAAGUAGCAAUACUUAGUGGCAGACGGGUGAGUAACAUGUAGGUAUCUGCCCUUUGGCCUGGAAUAACACGAGGAAACUUGUGCUAAUACCGGAUAAGUCUUUACGGAGAAAGCUUUAUGCACCAUUGGAUGAGCCUGCACUUGAUUAGUUUGUUGGUGGGGUAAUGGCCUACCAAGACUGUGAUCAAUAGCUGAUUUGAGAGGAUGAUCAGCCACAUUGGGACUGAGACACGGCCCAAACUCCUACGGGAGGCAGCAGUGGGGAAUCUUGCACAAUGGAGGAAACUCUGAUGCAGCGAUGCCGCGUGAGUGAAGAAGGCCCUUGGGUUGUAAAGCUCUUUCGUCGGGGAAGAAAAUGACUGUACCCGAAUAAGAAGGUCCGGCUAACUUCGUGCCAGCAGCCGCGGUAAUACGAAGGGACCUAGCGUAGUUCGGAAUUACUGGGCUUAAAGAGUUCGUAGGUGGUUGAAAAAGUUAGUGGUGAAAUCCCAGAGCUUAACUCUGGAACUGCCAUUAAAACUUUUCAGCUAGAGUAUGAUAGAGGAAAGCAGAAUUUCUAGUGUAGAGGUGAAAUUCGUAGAUAUUAGAAAGAAUACCAAUUGCGAAGGCAGCUUUCUGGAUCAUUACUGACACUGAGGAACGAAAGCAUGGGUAGCGAAGAGGAUUAGAUACCCUCGUAGUCCAUGCCGUAAACGAUGUGUGUUAGACGUUGGAAAUUUAUUUUCAGUGUCGCAGGGAAACCGAUAAACACACCGCCUGGGGAGUACGACCGCAAGGUUAAAACUCAAAUGAAUUGACGGGGACCCGCACAAGUAGUGGAGCAUGUGGUUUAAUUCGAAGAUACGCGCAGAACCUUACCAACACUUGACAUGUUCGUCGCGACUCUAAGAGAUUAGAGUUUUCGGUUCGGCCGGACGAAACACAGGUGCUGCAUGGCUGUCGUCAGCUCGUGUCGUGAGAUGUUGGGUUAAGUCCCGCAACGAGCGCAACCCUCACUUUUAGUUGCCAUCAUUAAGUUGGGCACUCUGAAAGAACUGCCAGUGAUAAGCUGGAGGAAGGUGGGGAUGACGUCAAGUCCUCAUGGCCCUUACGUGUUGGGCUACACACGUGCUACAAUGGUAUCUACAACAGGAAGCAAGACUGCGAAGUUAAGCAAAUCCCUAAAAGAUACCUCAGUUCGGAUUGCACUCUGCAACUCGAGUGCAUGAAGCUGGAAUUACUAGUAAUCGUGGAUCAGCGUGCCACGGUGAAUGCGUUCCCGGGUCUUGUACACACCGCCCGUCACACCAUGGGAGUUGGUUCUACCUUAAGGCAAGGUUUCAAACCCUUGACCACGGUAUAGUCAGCGACUGGGGUGAAGUCGUAACAAGGUAGCCGUAGGGGAACCUGCGGCUGGAUCACCUCCUU